UCCCUGGUGGUCCAGUGGUUAGGACUCGGCACUUCCACUGCCGUAGCCCGGGUUCGAUCCCUGGUCGGGGAA